UACGAAGGGGGCGAGCGUUGUUCGGAAUUACUGGGCGUAAAGGGCGCGUAGGCGGCCCCUUUUGUCGCGUGUGAAAGCCCCGGGCUCAACCUGGGAACGGCGCGCGAAACGGGGGGGCUUGAGUUCGGGAGAGGAGAGUGGAAUUCCCAGUGUAGAGGUGAAAUUCGUAGAUAUUCGGAAGAACACCAGUGGCGAAGGCGGCAUCCUGGACCAAUUCUGACACUGAGGAGCGAAAGCCAGGGGAGCAAACGGG
rnacentral:rRNA from 1 species